rnacentral:sRNA from 1 species
AUUCCGUUCGCACGAUCAGGUGAUGCGGCGGAUGCUGUCGGCGAUCUCCUGCGGCUCGAAGACGCGUUUCCAGUCCUCGCGCAUGAGCAUCGGCUU